UAAUGGGAUGUGACAUUGAGCAUCACAAUGUGGUUGUAAAAAUAGUGACUUAAGAUUAAUGAUGUAUGUUUUGUAAGAAUUAUGUAUAAGGUUGGGUUGUAAAUCAUGUUUAACACUAGACAUUAAGUUUGAACAAUUGAUGUCCAUNNNNNNNNNNNNNNNNNNNNNAACCGUAUACAAUUCAUUCAUUUUAUUUUUACAAUUAUCAUUCGCCAUUACCUCCUCCUCCCGAACCUCCAACCACCUAACAAUAAUCAAUACUCUACCGUACUAUGACUAUUAGGCUGCCCUCAGUACAUAUCAACUGUAAUCAUAUCAAAUAUCGGGAUCAUCCCAUGUUAGGCUUAAGCCCCUGAGCUACCACCCACACGUAUAUCAAGUAACACACAUAAGAGAUCUUUCCAAUAACUUAGUUCAAAAGCUUUUGAGAUUAUUACAUUAGUGUUCAUGCCAAUAGAGUACCGUUGGAAUAAUGAUACAUCAAUAGGAACCAAGUAAUAGACUUUCUAUACAAUAACGAUGUAAUAAAGACUCAUUGGUACAUCAACAAUGUGUUUCGGAAUCAUCAAUAUCACAACAAUGAAAUAGGAGCCUUUCGGUAUAUCAAUGAAACAUUUUGACACUUUAUAGAAUGGAAACAACUUCGUUGGUAAUGUAGAACAAUACAUGUUUUUGGACAACCUCGGAAUCUUACUUGAUGGAACAUUGGUGUUUUCAUGCCAAAGAACAUCGUUAGAGUAUGCUUUACAUACCUCGUUGUAGAUUCGGAUACCAAUUCAACACAACUUCCCGCCUUUACAAAUCACUUAUCUACAAUGAAAUGUUUGGCAUCUAGUAUUAGCAACCCAACACCACAAUUCUCUUCCAUAAUUCCAUACUACCAAUAUUUGCAAAACAUUCCAAAAACCAACUUGAACAAUAGGUUUAUGUGUGUAUAUAUAUAUAAUCAUCAUUUCAAUACCACAUCAUCAAUACCACAUCAUCACCCCAAAUUCCUUCACAAUUUAACAUAAUCCAACCAUGCACAAGAAUAAUCCAACAUCAUUUCCAAUCAUCUUUCAACAACAAUCAAAUAACAUACUUCUUAUGCUCACAUGCAUAUAUAUAUACAUAUCCAUAUAAAUAACACCAACAUAAUUUACAUCCUUACCAAAAAAAUGGCCCUUUUGAUUUCGAAGUCCUGUUGGCACAAAUAAGGGGUGCUUCUCGAAGCCCUUGAGACGGUGAACACAACUACGGAAUCAAUUUGGAUUUUCUACGGUUGAAUCACAAGAUAAUUGGAGUUGAACUUAGGCUAGGGUUUCUUAUUCUUCAAUGAUUUGGAUGAUAAAUGGUGGAUAUAAGGCUAAGUAUAUGUAUAUAAUGACCAAUUUUCGUCCAUGAGGUGAUGGAAAAUGACCAUAUUGCCCUUAAAAAUUUAAGUAAAUCCGAAUCUGUCCAUUUCAUUUUUUACAAGGAGUUAUGAUUAUUUAAAGUCGACCCAAAAAUCUGUUUGGCUGCAGUACUUUUGUGUGCAGAAAAUUUCUGCACAUUUACUGUUCAUUGCGUCCACCGUUUUUAAGUUUCGAACAUGCUCGCUUAUAUCCGAUACUCAUCUGUUUUCAGAAAUCUUUAUAUCGUUGGAAAGCUAACUCGAUAAACUUCGCAUAGAAACUUCGACGAGCAAAUUCCGGUAUAAACAAAGUCGAUUCCUAUACACAUAUAAUCAAACUAUACACUUGAAACCAUCUCAAAAUAAUCAAUACUCAUACUUAAACUCAUAUAUACCUAACUUAUGAUCAAUACAUAUACUCCAACACAUAUAACCAUGGCUAAUGCACGUAAUUAAGUACGGGGUGUUACAAGUAGUAAUGUCAUAAAGGUGCUUUGGUUGUGGAUAGUAUCUAGAUAAAAUCAGAUAUUUGGGGUAGAAUGUCCCAAUUUAAUGGACUAGUAAAUUAUGUUGUAUUCUUCAUGGGUGGUAUUUCCUGAAUAAAACAAGUAUGAGAUGAUGCUUAUGAUGCCUUACAACAUGUAUUAUAGUACCUAAAAGUCCCUAAGUCAAUAAGGUACAACAAUGCAAGCUAUACAAUUAUCAACUACAAGCUGAAAAUUUGAAAAUCCUGCCCAUGCACACUGAAAUUUCUGCACAUGCAUGCCAACCUUUGUGGACCUUUUAAAGCUGGAAAAUCUACACUUUCAUACCAGCCCGUGUGAACUUCCUAAAGUCUAAUAAAUGUGCUCCCAACCUAUUUUGACCAUCUAGAAGGUGCUGGAACGUUGGCAGCAAUGCAGGUCAUUUAUCGAAGCCCCGCCAAGCUCGAAAAUGCGUCCGAAUAGUCUGAAACAUGCCCAAAACAUGAGGAGUUUAAUGGGUUGUGAAGUUGAGCAUCACAAUGUGGUUGUAAAAAUAGUGACUUAAGAUUAAUGAUAUAUGUUUUGUAAGCAUUAUGUAUAAGGUUGGGUUGUAAAUCAUGUUAAGCACUAGACAUUAAGUUUGAAUAAUUGAUGUCCAUGAAGGUGGAUGUGAUGAUUUCUUGGUUAAUGAUACUAGUUUUAUGGAAGUAAUCUAAUAGGAUUGAAUGGUAUAUGCAAGAGCCUAAGUUUAUUUGAUUCGUAGU
rnacentral:lncRNA from 1 species